rnacentral:rRNA from 1 species
CCUACGGGUGGCUGCAGUCGAGAAUCAUUCACAAUGGGGGAAACCCUGAUGGUGCGACGCCGCGUGGGGGAAUGAAGGUCUUCGGAUUGUAAACCCCUGUCAUGUGGGAGCAAAUUAAAAAGAUAGUACCACAAGAGGAAGAGACGGCUAACUCUGUGCCAGCACCCGCGGUAAUACAGAGGUCUCAAGCGUUGUUCGGAAUCACUGGGCGUAAAGGGUGCGUAGGCUGGUUAGUAAUUCGUGUGUGAAAGGCGCGGGCUCAACCCGCGGACGGCACAUGAUACUGCGAGACUAGAGUAAUGGAGGGGGAACCGGAAUUCGCGGUGUAGCAGUGAAAUGCGUAGAUAUCGAGAGGAACACUCGUGGCGAAGGCGGGUUCCUGGACAUUAACUGACGCUGAGGCACGAAGGCCAGGGGAGCGAAAGGGAUUAGAUACCCCAGUAGUC